GGUUGCGUGGCCUAAUGGAAGGGCGUCUGAGAGUGGAUCAGAAGAUUCUGGGUUCAAGUCCCGGCGUAGCCG